rnacentral:rRNA from 1 species
UAAGACGAACCGUGCGAACGUUGUUCGGAUUCACUGGGCUUAAAGGGCGCGUAGGCGGGCUUGUAAGUCAGGGGUGAAAUCCUCCGGCUCAACCGGAGAACAGCCUUUGAUACUGCAAGUCUCGAGGGAGAUAGGGGUCUGCGGAACUUCCGGUGGAGCGGUGAAAUGCGUAGAUAUCGGAAGGAACGCCGGUGGCGAAAGCGGCGGACUGGAUCUCAUCUGACGCUGAGGCGCGAAAGCUAGGGGAGCGAACGGGAUUAGAUACCCCGGUAGUCCUAGCCCUAAACGAUGGGUACUAGAUUGUAGACUGCAUGGGUUUACAGUCGAAGCAAAAGUGAUAAGUACCCCGCCUGGGGAGUAUGGUCGCAAGGCUG